rnacentral:lncRNA from 1 species
UAUCAAUGAUCCAGAGAGUUCCUGGCCCGCAGCUGGCACACAGUCCACGUUACUGUCAGACAGUGGGGAGAAAAGAGUUUCGUCAUUCUCCUGGUGGGCCGUUCUCACUGCAAUGUUGCUCUUGUUCCACAAGAACACAUCAUCCACUCCCUGGAAGAUGCAACUCCUACGGAAACUGAGUCCAAUGAUCAAAGGCACUGGCAUUCAGAGGGGACCCACUGAUAAUUGCCGACUACACAGGAGCUGUCUUCCAUAACUCCUCAGAGAGCACGUCGGCCCUACAAAUGCAAAUCCAACAUUCAGCCACGACCUCCCAUGUGCCAAGUGUCAUGGGAUUCAUGCUUUCAAACCAUCGGUUCCAGUUAAGACUCAUAUAAGGAAACAGAUGGGUUCACAUGAUUUUAGUUUAUAUGGGAAGACGCUUUAGACUAAAGCAGAGGGAGGUAAACUUACAGGCAAGCAGGAAGGCUUGAAGGCUUGAGUGUUCUUGGAGGCUCACGGCUGGGUGCAGGCUGACCUUGGGUGAGAGCCCUCGCUCAUUGCCCCGUGACACUGUCCUUCCCGUGGGUUCAAACAGCCUCUUGUUCCUGGUCAAUAUCCUCUGCGCUUCUCUUUGGGGAUUUAGGACACCACGACAUUCUCCUCAUUGUCCAAGGAAACCAUUCUCCUCAUCUAGAAACAUCAUCGAUUUCUGAAGUUAAAUUGAGACCAGAGUGGAUUCUGCACAUCAGUCUCUCCCCUUUCCCUCUGUGACUGUGGACUCUGGGAGGGUUGAAGGGAGGUGGUGCCAACGGCAAAGACAUGCUCUGAUGGGGCGGCUUUUCCACAGGCCUUUCUUAAGCUGUGACUGGGUCUCAGAUCUUUCUUCAGACCUGAGGGAUGUUUAGAGUGGAGGAUGUUUGCAACCAUCGGUCUUCCAUCAUGUUACACUGGAGUUUCGUGGCAGUGACGUGAAUUAAAGAGUAAUAUUUUAGAUUUAAUAUUUUAUUGCUG